AAAAUAGGAGCAUUUAAAGGCCAAGAAAAGACAUAUGGUCUGUCUAUGCUUGCCUUAUAUGCACAGAAAUUAUAUAUUAAGCUACAAUUUAGCCACUACCUUAAUGUGAAAAUUCUCCUUUUUUUUUUUUUUUUUUUUUUUUUUUUUUUCCAUCUUCAUCUUGGGAAAUUUAACAGAUUUGGUGUCUGUAUUUUCAUGAGAGUAGACAAAAGAAGAAGGCAAAUCAUUCUUGGUGGCUGUUUUUCAUAAGGUCAGAUAAUGAAAUACAAGUGCAAAGAAAAAACAGUGUGAUAGUAUCAAUUGCAUAUGUGAGCGAAGGUCAACCAACUGAAAGGAAGCAGCUUUCACAACUGGCUGGAGGAAGUUUCCUGACGUGGUGGCAAGAACAACUCCAACUGUGAUCAUUUCUGAAAAGCAACCUGUUUGCUACAGAUAGAAGAUUUCGUUUGUAAAAUAAACUUAUCUGGUAUGUGUGAUUAUUUUAUAUUUUUUCUUUGUUUGAUCAGUAUGUAUACUGAGCUCAGUGCUUUGCAUAAAUUGGUGCUCAUGGAUGCGUUUGGGCUUCUCUUGGAUAAGGACUGUGUGGGCUUUUGAACAAUAGUCUGCCAAGAAAUUUAUCAUGAAUCCUAAUUGUUUGAGCAAACAGUUGUUCUUUUUCUCCAGCAAAUACUGUUGUAUCCACAUUAUUAACAUAGUUAUGUAUAGUUGCUUUGAAAAUCAUUCUUGAUUUGAAGAAUUCUAAUGCUUUGUACAGUGAUUAUGCAAAAGUCUCAUGUAUAAGCAAUGCCGAUGUUACUGGAAGCGCCUCAUAUAGAGUCCAAAUAUAGCAGAUCAAAUCAAAACUGUGCUACAUCUUAAGCAACUGUUGACCCAUUUCCAUAUCAAAUUGGUUUCUGUCACAGAAGACUUUGCUUUUUCUUCUAGAGAUAUUUACUUGUGCUGUGCUGCUCAAGUAAGGCAAUGGCACAUUUUAUUCUAACGUCACUUAAUAAUGGGUCAAAUGAUUUCUAACACUGCUUGUUUAUUGACACCUUUCUGUUUAAGAGAGUGUCAUAAUGAGAAGCUUGUUUCUGCUCUGUAAUAUACGACCAUACCACCAAUUCCUGAAAAAUCAGCCGCUGUAAUUCAGCACAUGCAGAAAGUCAGUGCAAGGUGCCAUGCCAUGUGCGGGAUGAAUAUUGAUAGCCUUGAUCAGCACAGUCCUAAGUCUCUAACUUACAUAAACAGUGGGGAAACAGAUUUACAAAUUUCACUUUGACCUUUGUUUAUCCUGUUUAUCCUCUUUCUUUUUUCUUUUUUUUUCUUUUUCUUUUUUUGAGGGGGAAGGGAGGAAGGAGCAGAAUUGCAGAAUUAAUAGGACAUAGCAUAUCAGUAAGAUUUCAGAGGCUGCUGUAAAUACCUAGAGUAGGAAGAAGGUGAGUUGUUAGUGGUGUGACUUGUUUGUGUCACUUUGUUAGAACAUUAGAAGUAUCUUAAUAUAGAUUUCUUUUUUUUUGUUCUAGUGAUACAUUCAUUUCGUCAGGGAGGGGAUGGGUAAAAUUUUCUACUGUUUUUCUGGCAUUAAUUGCAACUCCCUUCUGCUGCUCCGUGCAGCUCUCCCUGGCAUGGCCCUGGGCCCUCUAGCGGACCUGUGCUGCUUGCAGCAAUUUCUCUGCCAAAACGCCGCUUCUGUUGCUAUGUUGUUUGUUAGGGCUACACUACUGUAUGUGAAAAUCGACACAGACAAUGUUGCUGAGUUGUAAGUCUGAGAUUCAUAUAUUUUAAGCAGCAUUUAUUUCUUGCACAAAGUACGUAACCUCGGCUAUAGGUCAGGUUAUGCGGUGGUCCUGGCAGAGGCCUUGUUCUAAAUAAUAUGCUAUGCUGAACAGUAUCAGACCAUGCCUACAGAAUCAGUUACUUAUCAGUGGUAUUUGAACAUCUACACUUCAAAAUAUCAGUGAUUUACUUUUUCCAGUGAUUCUACUUGUUUUCUUUUUCACGUGUUCUAUUGUCUAAAAUAAAGCCUCUUUCAAAAUGUAAGCACAAUAGAAAAUGAUAAAGAAUAAAUGCAAUAUAUUGUUUAGGUGAUCAGUAUGUUUACGUACAUCAGUAACCAUUCCGAUUUUUCAAGUAUACAAGAAUAUUAUUUGUAAAUUAAUGUAUUUGCCUUUCUUUAGUUUUUCAUUUGAAAAGGGAGCUCCAGUCACUAUGGAGAACAGUGUUGCUAACAUAAUAGUUUUCAUU
rnacentral:lncRNA from 1 species